AGCGAACGCUGGCGGCAGGUCUAACACAUGCAAGUCGAACGAACUCUUCGGAGUUAGUGGCGGACGGGUGAGUAACACGUGGGAACGUGCCUUUAGGUUCGGAAUAACUCAGGGAAACUUGUGCUAAUACCGAAUGUGCCCCCCGAUUCAUUUUGGGGUGGGAAAGAUUUAUCGCCUUUAGAGCGGCCCGCGUCUGAUUAGCUAGUUGGUGAGGUAAAGGCUCACCAAGGCGACGAUCAGUAGCUGGUCUGAGAGGAUGAUCAGCCACAUUGGGACUGAGACACGGCCCAAACUCCUACGGGAGGCAGCAGUGGGGAAUCUUGCGCAAUGGGCGAAAGCCUGACGCAGCCAUGCCGCGUGAAUGAUGAAGGUCUUAGGAUUGUAAAGCUCUUUUACCAGGGAUGAUAAUGACAGUACCUGGAGAAUAAGCUCCGGCUAACUCCGUGCCAGCAGCCGCGGUAAUACGGAGGGAGCUAGCGUUGUUCGGAAUUACUGGGCGUAAAGCGCACGUAGGCGGUUAUUCAAGUCAGAGGUGAAAGCCCGGGGCUCAAUCCCGGAACAGCCUUUGAAACUAGAUAACUAGAAUUCUGGAGAGGUCAGUGGAAUUCCGAGUGUAGAGGUGAAAUUCGUAGAUAUUCGGAAGAACACCAGUGGCGAAGGCGACUGACUGGACAGAUAUUGACGCUGAGGUGCGAAAGCGUGGGGAGCAAACAGG
rnacentral:rRNA from 1 species